rnacentral:lncRNA from 12 species
CACUUAAUGUGAUGAGCACCAGGUGUUAUAUGGAAGUUUUGGAUCAUUCUACUGUAUACCUGAAACUAAUAUUACUAAUAUUUAAUAGUUUUAAGUAAAAACUUUGUAAAAAAAAAAAAAGAAAAAAACAAGAAAAAGAUGGAAAAUAGUCACGAGAUACCCUGUAAUCAAUUUAUAGCAAGUUUUCUAGAAAGUACUACAGAAACUAAAAGAAAGGGAAAUUGGCUUAGAAUAAAGCCUUUAGAGGGGAAAUGUCAUGUGAAAUAUUAAAAAAUCAGCAGCUGCUGGACAGGAGGACAAAAAGAAAAUGGACAGUCUCAAUGGAGGGGAAAGGUGAACAAUUAUAGAGGUUCAAAAGGGUACACAAUAUUCUGAAAACUUCAGGAAGUUUUUUGGAGAGUAGCAAAUGAGAAGAAAGAGGUCUGAGAAAGUUCACAAAGAUGCCUAUUAUGCUAAAAAGCUGGACCUUUGUCUGACUGAAGGAGGUAAGCCAGGAGAGUGAUGUCAUCAUUAAAAAGAUCCUGGCAGUAGUGUGAAGGACAAGACUGAAGGCAAAGGACUAAAUCACGAGACAAAACUGUCUUGACCUAAUAGUUUAUGGAAUUAUGAUGACCCCAUUCAUCAUCAAUGAUCAUUAGGUCUAUUACCCAAUGGGUCUCAAAUUCAGAUAGAUAUUUAGAGACUGUAGGUGCUGAUUUAUUUUAGAAAACUGUUUAUAUGGUAUAAUCUCAAUCAAAAAGCAUGGCAGGAAUUUCAUAAGAAUUAUAUCAAGAUGUCAAAAUAUGAAUAAAAACUAGCUCUGGGUAGUGGGGAUACAGGUCAUGUUUUUCUUCUUGUUAAUAUUUCACAUUCUCUACAAGGUAAAAUUAAAAAAAAAAAAAAGGAGGAGGAGGAGGAGGCACCCCCUUCGUAUUCUUCUUAUCGUUAUUUUAUACAUAUAUGAUUUUUUUUGGAGGGAGGGUGUUGGUUCCCGGCUGAAGAGCACUUAUUUAAAAUACUAAAAAAAGAACAUUUUUGGGCGAUCUCCAGGGUUAUUUUAACUAGCUCUGUGUGCUAUAGCAUAAGAAGCCGACUAAGGAGUCUGAAAGAGGAAAAGAAGAGGAUUAUUUAUUCGACCUACUUUGGAUGUCUCUCGCUUUUUUUUUUUUUUUAAAUUGC